AGAGGCCAGAGGCUCUGACAAGUGCUUACAGGGUGCCUGCCUGCUCAACCGGUAUUCCUCUGACACCUAUUAGCCAACAGCCCGAACUAGGAGUUUGGCACCAUUCCCAAAAUGGGUGUUCCCAUCCCUGGUGCUAACAGUUGGCGUGCAGCUGCCUCUCAGAGGGCCUUUGUCGGAGGGGUGCGCGGUGAAAGCUACACAGAGCUGCUUGGGGGAGUCAGGGUUCCAGAAAUGGAUUGUUUAUUUCUCUGUUUGCCUGAAGCUUUUUCUCAGUUAAGUUUUCUUUGAAUGCCUCGUUCCAGGCAUGAACCUUAUGGGCAGCAGUAUCCAGGCCAAGGCCCUCCCUCGGGACAGCCACCGUAUGGAGGGCACCAGCCCGGCCUGUACCCACAGCAGCCGAAUUACAAACGCCAUAUGGACGGCAUGUACGGGCCCCCAGCCAAGCGCCAUGAGGGCGACAUGUACAACAUGCAGUACAGCAGCCAGCAGCAGGAGAUGUACAACCAGUAUGGAGGCUCCUACUCGGGCCCGGACCGCAGGCCCAUCCAGGGCCAGUACCCGUAUCCCUACAGCAGGGAGAGGAUGCAGGGCCCGGGGCAGAUCCAAACGCACGGAAUCCCACCUCAGAUGAUGGGCGGCCCGCUGCAGUCGUCCUCCAGUGAGGGGCCUCAGCAGAAUAUGUGGGCAGCACGCAAUGAUAUGCCUUAUCCCUACCAGAACAGGCAGGGCCCUGGCGGCCCUACACAGGCGCCCCCUUACCCAGGCAUGAACCGCACGGACGAUAUGAUGGUACCCGAUCAGAGGAUAAAUCAUGAGAGCCAGUGGCCUUCUCACGUCAGCCAGCGUCAGCCUUAUAUGUCGUCCUCAGCCUCCAUGCAGCCCAUCACACGCCCACCACAGCCGUCCUACCAGACGCCACCGUCACUGCCAAAUCACAUCUCCAGGGCGCCCAGCCCAGCGUCCUUCCAGCGCUCCCUGGAGAACCGCAUGUCUCCAAGCAAGUCUCCCUUUCUGCCGUCUAUGAAGAUGCAGAAGGUCAUGCCCACGGUCCCCACAUCCCAGGUCACCGGGCCACCGCCCCAACCACCCCCAAUUAGAAGGGAGAUCACCUUUCCUCCUGGCUCAGUAGAAGCAUCACAACCAGUCUUGAAACAAAGGCGAAAGAUUACCUCCAAAGAUAUCGUUACUCCUGAGGCGUGGCGUGUGAUGAUGUCCCUUAAAUCAGGUCUUUUGGCUGAGAGUACAUGGGCUUUGGACACUAUUAAUAUUCUUCUGUAUGAUGACAGCACUGUUGCUACUUUCAAUCUCUCCCAGUUGUCUGGAUUUCUCGAACUUUUAGUCGAGUACUUUAGAAAAUGCCUGAUUGACAUUUUUGGAAUUCUUACGGAAUAUGAAGUGGGAGACCCCAGCCAAAAAGCACUUGAUCACAACGCAGCAAGGAAGGAUGAUAGCCAGUCCUUGGCGGACGAUUCUGGGAAAGAGGAGGAAGAUGCUGAAUGUAUUGAUGACGACGAGGAAGACGAGGAGGACGAGGAGGAAGACAGUGAGAAGACAGAAAGCGAUGAAAAAAGCAGCAUCGCUCUGACUGCCCCGGACGCCGCUGCAGACCCAAAGGAGAAGCCCAAGCAAGCCAGUAAGUUCGACAAGCUGCCAAUAAAGAUAGUCAAAAAGAACAACCUGUUUGUUGUUGACCGAUCUGACAAGUUGGGGCGUGUGCAGGAGUUCAGUAGUGGCCUUCUGCACUGGCAGCUCGGCGGGGGCGACACCACUGAGCACAUUCAGACUCACUUUGAGAGCAAGAUGGAAAUUCCUCCUCGCAGGCGCCCACCUCCCCCCUUAAGCUCCGCAGGUAGAAAGAAAGAGCAAGAAGGCAAAGGCGACUCUGAAGAGCAGCAAGAGAAAAGCAUCAUAGCAACCAUCGAUGACGUCCUCUCUGCUCGGCCAGGGGCACUGCCCGAAGACGCAAACCCUGGGCCCCAGACCGAAAGCAGUAAGUUUCCCUUUGGUAUCCAGCAAGCCAAAAGUCACCGGAACAUCAAGCUGCUGGAGGACGAGCCCAGGAGCCGAGACGAGACUCCUCUGUGCACCAUCGCGCACUGGCAGGACUCGCUGGCUAAGCGAUGCAUCUGUGUGUCCAAUAUUGUCCGUAGCUUGUCAUUCGUGCCUGGCAAUGAUGCCGAAAUGUCCAAACAUCCAGGCUUGGUGCUGAUCCUGGGGAAGUUGAUUCUUCUUCACCACGAGCAUCCAGAGAGAAAGCGAGCACCGCAGACCUAUGAGAAAGAGGAGGAUGAGGACAAGGGGGUGGCCUGCAGCAAAGAUGAGUGGUGGUGGGACUGCCUCGAGGUCUUGAGGGAUAACACGUUGGUCACGUUGGCCAACAUUUCCGGGCAGCUAGACUUGUCUGCUUACACGGAAAGCAUCUGCUUGCCAAUUUUGGAUGGCUUGCUGCACUGGAUGGUGUGCCCGUCUGCAGAGGCACAAGAUCCCUUUCCAACUGUGGGACCCAACUCGGUCCUGUCGCCUCAGAGACUUGUGCUGGAGACCCUCUGUAAACUCAGUAUCCAGGACAAUAAUGUGGACCUGAUCUUGGCCACUCCUCCAUUUAGUCGUCAGGAGAAAUUCUAUGCUACAUUAGUUAGGUACGUUGGGGAUCGCAAAAACCCAGUCUGUCGAGAAAUGUCCAUGGCGCUUUUAUCGAACCUUGCCCAAGGGGACGCACUAGCGGCAAGGGCCAUAGCUGUGCAGAAAGGAAGCAUUGGAAACUUGAUAAGCUUCCUAGAGGAUGGGGUCACGAUGGCCCAGUACCAGCAGAGCCAGCACAACCUCAUGCACAUGCAGCCCCCGCCCCUGGAACCACCUAGCGUAGACAUGAUGUGCAGGGCGGCCAAGGCUUUGCUAGCCAUGGCCAGAGUGGACGAAAACCGCUCGGAAUUCCUUUUGCACGAGGGCCGGUUGCUGGAUAUCUCGAUAUCAGCUGUCCUGAACUCUCUGGUUGCAUCUGUCAUCUGUGAUGUACUGUUUCAGAUUGGGCAGUUAUGACAUAAGUGAGAAGGCAAGCAUGUGUGAGUGAAGAUUAGAGGGUCACAUAUAACUGGCUGUUUUCUGUUCUUGUUUAUCCAGCGUAGGAAGAAGGAAAAGAAAAUCUUUGCUCCUCUGCCCCAUUCACUAUUUACCAAUUGGGAAUUAAAGAAAUAAUUAAUUUGAACAGUUAUGAAAUUAAUAUUUGCUGUCUGUGUGUAUAAGUACAUCCUUUGGGGUUUUUUUUUUCUUUUUUUUUUUAACCAAAGUUGCUGUCUAGUGCAUUCAAAGGUCACUUUUUGUUUUUCACAGAUCUUUUUAAUGUUCUUUUCCAUGUUGUAUUGCAUUUUUGGGGGAAGCAAAUUGACUUUAAAGAAAAAAGUUGUGGCAAAAGAUGCUAAGAUGCGAAAAUUUCACCACACUGAGUCAAAAAGGUGAAAAAUUAUCCAUUUCCUAUGCGUUUUACUCCUCAGAGAAUGAAAAAAACUGCAUCCCAUCACCCAAAGUUCUGUGCAAUAGAAAUUUCUACAGAUACAGGUAUAGGGGCUCAAGGAGGUAUGUCAGUCAGUAGUCAAAACUAUGAAAUGAUACUGGUUUCUCCACAGGAAGAUGGUUCCAUUAGGCUGGGAGCAAAAACAAUGUUUUUUAAGAUUGAAAAUACAUACCUGACAACGAUCCGGAAACUGCUCCUCACCACUCCCGUCAUGCCUGCUGUCGGCGUUUGACCUUCCACAUGACAGUUCUUCACAAUUCCUUUAAUCAUUUUUUAAAUAUUUUUUUUACUGCCUAUGGGCUGUGAUGUAUAUAGAAGUUGUACAUUAAACAUACCCU
rnacentral:sRNA from 1 species